rnacentral:rRNA from 1 species
AAAGGUGGCUAUGCUACCGCUUUUGGAUGGGCCCGCGGCGCAUUAGCUAGUUGGUGGGGUAAAGGCUUACCAAGGCAAUGAUGCGUAGCCGAACUGAGAGGUUGAUCGGCCACAUUGGGACUGAGACACGGCCCAAACUCCUACGGGAGGCAGCAGUAGGGAAUCUUCCACAAUGGGCGAAAGCCUGAUGGAGCAACGCCGCGUGGGUGAAGAAGGUCUUCGGAUCGUAAAACCCUGUUGUUAGAGAAGAAAGUGCGUGAGAGUAACUGUUCACGUUUCGACGGUAUCUAACCAGAAAGCCACGGCUAACUACGUGCCAGCAGCCGCGGUAAUACGUAGGUGGCAAGCGUUAUCCGGAUUUAUUGGGCGUAAAGGGAACGCAGGCGGUCUUUUAAGUCUGAUGUGAAAGCCUUCGGCUUAACCGGAGUAGUGCAUUGGAAACUGGGAGACUUGAGUGCAGAAGAGGAGAGUGGAACUCCAUGUGUAGCGGUGAAAUGCGUAGAUAUAUGGAAGAACACCAGUGGCGAAAGCGGCUCUCUGGUCUGUAACUGACGCUGAGGUUCGAAAGCGUGGGUAGCAAACAGGAUUAGAUACCCUGGUAGUCCACGCCGUAAACGAUGAAUGCUAAGUGUUGGAGGGUUUCCGCCCUUCAGUGCU